rnacentral:lncRNA from 1 species
GCAUAGUACUGAUUGCAGUAGGAGUCGGUGGGCCUCGAGUAGGUGGGCCUCCGUAGGGAGCCAGCGUGGAUCGAGUGCGGGGCCUGGACUUCCCGCCCCCUCCGCACUGCAGACUCUGCGGUGAUUUAAAGGUGCCUGGCGGUGGUACGGGAUCCAACUGUAAAAUGUCAUCCCAGCUAGUGUGACAUCACCACAGUUUAGUGUGACACCCCCAGAGCUUGGGCAGUGUACGGGACGACAGUGCCUAGCAGAGGAGCUUCACUGCCGGUGAGGGAUUACCUCAGAAACUUCCUUCUACUACUUAAAGUCCUCACAUUGGGCUGACCUGGGAAACAUGAAGAUAAAAAGAGUGGGUAAACAUGCCUGCUUGAUGAGCCAGAAAAAAAGGCAGAAACCUGUGGUCUGGGUAGAACAGAUCCUGCUCAGAAUGUAAGCUUCAAACAUGUUUAUCAUGCCUUGGUUCAACCUAACUCUCUGACAUGUUCCUAAACUCCUGCUCUCUCAAGUUAUGUCCCUUUCCUCUUUUCAAAUAUCUCUCAGAAUUCACCCUUUCGGGAACCUUUGCUGAUUGACUCCUAUUUUAUUUGAAUUCUGCAUCAUCAUCUGAUUACUUAAAUUAACCUGUACCUUCUUUAUUUAUACUUGUUAACUUCUAUUUUCAUUGCUCUUAGGUCCUCAGUCUUUCUCACUAUACGGAGAGCUUCUUAAAGUCUGUAUUUUCUCCUCUUUAGUAUCAUUCACUCAUUCAUCCAGCAAACUGCUUGUGUGCCUGCUCUGUGCUAUACACUCUUCUAGACACUGGGUCAGGUAUGAAUGAGACAGGUGAAUAAAGCAUGGUCUUUUCCCUCAGGGACCUUACAGUCUAAUGAGGAAAAAACGUGUGCAGACAUAUAUAAGAUAAGUGAGAGAGUCGGAGAAGAACAUCAGAAGUGAUAUUUGAGCAUAGUAAGGUCAAAGAAGUUUCAAAGUUUAGUCAUUUGUCCAUUCAGUAACUAUUUAUAGAGCAUCUUCUGUGUGCUAGGCACUAUAUAAGAAAUU